AAAUGACAUGAACAUAUAUAUAACUAUCUUACAUUUAACAAGGGGAAGAAACGAGGUUGAAGGAUAGAACAUAAAAUGCAUCACUUCACAGACACGCACAAAUGUAUAUAUAUCACACGUACUUGCGCUAACACAAAGACUACACAAUGUAACAAGGUUCUUAAGCAAGAAAUGACAGGGGAUAUAUAUAUCGCUAAUUAUCAAGCAAACAAACUGAGUGACACAUGCCACGGUUCAGCUCACAGAUCACAAAUGUAACACUACAAACACAAGCCUGAAAUUGAACAAAUCACUAUAUUAUACAGUACUAACUCCUAUGAGUUACAGAGAGAGAAACUGCAGCAGCGAGUUGGGGAUUCAUAGAAGAACAGCAGGGUCAUUUUCUUCAGAAAGGAAUAGCAGCAAGGAAUGAGAACAGCAGCAGCGUGGAGGUUUGGAGAAGAAGCAGCAGCAAAUGAAGAGGAGCAGCAGCAGUGACGUGAGGAGAAGAAGGGCAGCAAGGGCUUGGGGUAAGCAGAAGGUUCAGAGAAGAGUAGGAGGUAGCAAUAGCUUCAGCGCAGGGAGAGAAGCAGCCGCGGUUUGGGUUCACAGAAGUAUCAGCAAGAGAAAUUGAGGGAGCAGCAGCAGGGGGGGCGAUGGAGUCGAUGGUGGUGCUGGGUGCUGCUGGUGCAGUGGAUGGAGAAUGCAGAUGCAGUGGCUUGCGGAGAUGGACGGAGAAGGUGGUGGCUUGCGGCGACGGAAGAUAUGGAUGAAGAUGGUGGUGGCUUGCGGCGCUAAUGGAUGGGAGGCGCACCACCACGCCGGCCUGGCCAUGGCGGUGGCCGGAGCUGGAGGAGGAGAGGUGAGGGAGAGAGAGGUGUAGCCAGGCCCGAAGGGGAUCGAUGGUUGCCGCUAGGGAUUUGAUCCCCCUCCUCUGAUCUGCCACUUUUGCUCUUUUGCCCUUCCACUUCUCUUCUUUCUUCACAAGAUGGUCCCUCCAACUUUAGCUUGGCCCCUCUGGUUACUUCUUUUCUUCACGGCCGGGUCCCUCCGUAAAUUACAGCAACCACAGUUUCUUGACACUCUCCAUUAUAGAAGGAUUUUGGGCUUUUUCGCCCUUUUCUGCAAAACAUGGAGGAGUGUUGUAAAUGUAGCAUAAUGGGGGUAUUAGAAUAUUUCUUAAGUAAAUAAUGUGAAAAUAUGAUUACAAUAGGAUGCAAAAAGGCUAAAAAGAUUAUAUGAAGAAAUGCUCUAUCAAGUUCCCCCACACUUAAAUCUUUGCUUGUCCUCAAGCAAAGGCAUAUGACAAGAGCUAGAUAGUGAACAGUGAGCUGACUAGAGAAUGUCCCAGUGAAGUAGAUCUCCAAACAUUGCAUGCUUUGGACUUAGCUAGUGAAAAUCAAUGGUUAAGAGUGCUACAUAUCAAUAGGACACUAGUAAACUCGGCCAUUUUAAACUUUUGCAAUGAUAAACGAAGAUUAGCAAGUUCAAAUGCUGACUGUGCCAAAAGGUUCCUAAAGAGAGCAUGAUCCUGAGAACAAAAGGAACUUGAAUUAAAUCACUUAUUUGCAGAAAUAUAACAUUGUGGUUGAACCACUUAUUAAAUUUGAAGGAAGUAAUGAUAAUAUUUUAUCAGUCUCACCAAAGGAACAUACCACCGAUCCCGAGAACAUGGUAUACACCUGGCUCGACCAAUUAUUAGUUUUUUUAGUUUGUCUCCCCAAAGGAACAUACCACCGAUCCAGAGAACAUGGUAUACCCCUGGUUCGACAAUUACAUUUUUUUAAUAUAAUUAACUCCUAUCCGAUCCAACUAGAUUUCACAAGCCACCGAUCCAGGGAACAUGACAUGCUACUGUUAGGUAGAUCAGAUAAUUAUUCAUUAUAAGAUAUGCCUUUUUUUAAUGAAAAAACACAAGAAUCAUCACUCAACCAGGUCUGGUUCACAUGCUACCGAUCCAGGGAACAUAGCAUACUAGUCCAUAGUGGUAAGUGAUUGCUCUGAAUGGGAACACAUUAGGCACAAACUCAGCAUCUGACACUUAAUGAUCUAGGUGCAUCGAGGUAAAAGCAGAAAAUGAUUAAGUUUUCUAGUGUACUAGGGAUUUGAGCACUCAAAACUAAUAGCUUUCACUAAUUUCAGAAAGCAAGCAAUAUGUAGAUCACUAGUUUACAUGGCAUUCAACAAUCAGUUCGCAUAUUCUCAUCAAGCACCAUAUGUCAAAUAAAAUUCAGUGGGGCAACAUUUAAGACAUGGCUUAAGCAACCCAAAUAACAUUUGAUUUCAGCAUGUAUCAAUGGAUGAUAUACUCGGAAUGGGUCAUGAAACAGCUCACCGGGCACUAUGAAGUAGCACUCGCUUGAUCACUCUCUAAGUUGCUGCUCUUCUCCUUUUGCUUCUCUAUCCUCAUGCCUGCUCCAGCUUGUCCCUUCCUCGCGUGUGUGCCCAUUGCUUCUCCUCAUCUCCAUGCUCAGGAUCCACCGGGGUCCCAAGGAAUGUCACCUCGAACCUGGUCAGCAUGUAGUGAUUCGUGCACAAGCAAGAACCUGAAAGAGCACUCAAUGAAAGAGACAAUGCAAGUGGUAGGGAUAAUACCCUCCAAGUCAUCAAUCGAAUAUCCAAUUACAUAAGCAUAGCUAUAAAGCACAUGUUUAGGGUGGUAGAAAUUAGCAAGGUCAACACUAACAUGAGGAUGAUAUUUAUCAUUAAGCUCAAGACUAGCAUGGGAAUGAUAUGUUUCAUUAAGCAAAGGACUAGCAUGAGGAGAAUAAGUGUCAUCAUCAUAAAUGAGAGCAAUACCACUAACAGGGUAUAUAUCAUCAUAUACAAGCAAAUGAGUUUUCAAAUCAAUCUUAAGUGAUGGUAUCAUGUAAUGCAAGGUAGUAGCAAAGAAAUUAUACGGACGCAUGUCAUCAAGAGGAUUAGAUAAACCUGCUACAUCACGCUCCUGUAUGACGAUGGGCAAAUGCAUUUCCGGUUCUUCAAGUUCAUCUAUAGCAGCUUCUUUUACUUUUUCGGAAGAGAUAGACAUUGGAUCUUCAACUUGUUCAUUUGGGUAUUCGAGCUCUGGAUCAUCUUGUUCCUUGUCUUUUUGUAAAUCUUCUUCAAGUUGAGGUCUCUCUUCCUCUGGAUCUUCUAUGGUGCUACUACCAGCAACACCUAAUUGAGUCUGGAGUGUCCCCAUCUGUGAAUAUGCACUAACAUGAUCUGGUAGGGGUGCUGAGAUCACUACCUCGCUGUCUUUCUGAGCAAUGUUCUCCUCAUCACCAUCACUGCUAAGUUUCAACAAUGACACUGAUGACUUCCACCAGUCAUGCAGCUCAGCAACAUGUGGGAUCUUCUCAAAAUAUUGAAGUAUCAACUCUUCUAAAUUUGACUCAACCUCUUGUAUAUCUCUCCUUGGAAUGUCUCCGACUUGCUUAGUUGUAUGUGCAGGAAUUGGAAUCUCAUCUUCACUAUUCUUCUCUGAGAUACUCUCUUUAACUGAGAUAGAGGCAACCACCGGUGGAGCUAAUGAUUUCUUCUUGACAAAUAGCCCAGAUAUAGUUGUAACACAAGUGUGGGCAAUUGGUGACACGACUAAAUUCCACCAGUCACAUAGUUGACUAACACAAGUGAAUUUCUCCAUAUCUUGUUGUCUCCACUUAGCAUCAAUCAGAGUAGGUUCCUCAUAAACAUCUUGCAACUUUGACUCAGUCUGGACAGUUUCAUUGCCAUGAGGUAUUGGAUCUGCUACUGUGGUUUCCAUCUGAUCUACAAUGGUUGCAUCAUCUUGAAAAAUAUCAUAAUCAUCAUCAAGGAUACUUGAAGUAAGAUCAAUCUUUCUACAUGGAGGAUCUAAUUCAGCUCUGAAAUGUUGUUGUCCCCGGAAUGAAACAUGCUGGUUUUGAAUAUUAGGCACCAUGGAUGAUUUCUGUUCACUUAUGGAACACACAGCUUCUGAUUGCAGAUGGCUUGCAACCUUCGGAUUUGAACUAGGCCUUUCAUAACCCCAUUGCAUUUGGUGGAAGGCAAUGCUCUCAAUGAGAAUAAUUGCACCCUCAACGGUCUUGUUCAUGAUUGUUCCACCAGCUGACAUAUCAAUAAGAUCUCUCGAAGCAUGUGUCAGCCCUCUAUAGAAUAUCUGGAGCACUAACCAAUCCUUUUGCCCAUGAUUAGGACAUUUUCUAAGCAAAUACUUAUAUCUCUCCCAAGCUGCAUACAAGCUCUCACUUCCAUCUUGCGCAAAACUGAGGAUCUGGUCACGAAUUGCAGCUUGCUUGUAAAGUGGAAAAUAUCUGUGCAGGAAAGCUUGCGAAAUAUCACCCCAAGUGUAUGAUCUUGAUGGCAAAGAAUAGUACCAGUCCUUAGCAGCAUCUCUGAGAGAGAAUGUGAACAGCAUACACUUGAUAGCAUCUUGGGAAACGCCAUGGUACUGGACUGUAUUGGCAUACACCAGGACAUUACAAAUGUGCUCAUGAGGGUCUUCAUUGGGUAAUCCUCUAAACUGACUCUGCAAGACGAGAGCAAUAAGUCCAGGCCUCAACUCAAAAUUUUCGGCCUCAAUAGAUGGCCAAAUUAGCCCUAUCAUCGUGUCCAAACUACUUGGCAACCAAAGAUCACGUACUAAAGCCAUAUGUUCAAGCGCAACUGUCAAUCAGCCUACAAAUAGUAAGAUAUCCUACACACGCUCACAAACAUCAAGCUCUCGUGAGAGGGUUAGUAUCCUAAUAAGCCGAAGCAACAAAAAAUAAAAAAGUAAAAGAAACACAUAAAUAAAUUUGACUGGAAAUUUAAACAAGAACUAUACUAAGCCUAGUCUAUAGCUUCACACAAUCGCUCAACGCUAGUCCCCGGCAACGGCGCCAAAAUGAUCAAUUGUAAAUGUAGUGGAAUAUUUUGCCCAAACUACGGAUGUCGUGUUCUCCACAUGGACUAGGCAACGGCAACAAUGCUCGGCUAAAGCUAGGUGACGGAAUUUAGAUGAUGAUUGCAAGCCUAAACUAACCAAAGUCAACGGCAAAGAAAAUGAAAAUAAGCAAUGGGAUGUUCAUAUUAUCUUCAUUGUAUUUUUGUUUUACUUGAGACAAUAAAUGCUAACACAAGCAAACAUCAAACGGCUAGGGAAUUAAAAUGACAUGAACAUAUAUAUAACUAUCUUACAUUUAACAAGGGGAAGAAACGAGGUUGAAGGAUAGAACAUAAAAUGCAUCACUUCACAGACAUGCACAAAUGUAUAUAUAUCACACGUACUUGCGCUAACACAAAGACUACACAAUGUAACAAGGUUCUUAAGCAAGAAAUGACAGGGGAUAUAUAUAUAGCUAAUUAUCAAGCAAACAAACUGAGUGACACAUGCCACGGUUCAGCUCACAGAUCACAAAUGUAACACUACAAACACAAGCCUGAAAUUGAACAAAUCACUAUAUUAUACAGUACUAACUCCUGUGAGUUACAGAGAGAGAAACUGCAGCAGCGAGUUGGGGAUUCAGAGAAGAACAGCAGGGUCGUUUUCUUCAGAAAGGAAUAGCAGCAAGGAAUGAGAACAGCAGCAGCGUGGAGGUUUGGAGAAGAAGCAGCAGCAAAUGAAGAGGAGCAGCAGCAGUGACGUGAAGAGAAGAAGGGCAGCAAGGGCUUGGGUAAGUAGAAGGUUCAGAGAAGAGUAGGAGGUAGCAAUAGCUUCAGCGCAGGGAGAGAAGCAGCCGCGGUUUGGGUUCAGAGAAGUAUCAGCAAGAGAAAUUGAGGGAGCAGCAGCAGGGGGGCGAUGGAGUCAAUGGUGGUGCUGGGUGCUGCUGGUGCGGUGGAUGGAGAAUGCAGAUGCAGUGGCUUGCGGAGAUGGACGGAGAUGGUGGUGGCUUGCGGCGACGGCAGAUAUGGAUGAAGAUGGUGGUGGCUUGCGGCGCUGAUGGAUGGGAGGCGCACCACCAUGCCGGCCUGGCCGUGGCGGCGGCCGGAGCUGAAGGAGGAGAG
rnacentral:lncRNA from 1 species